rnacentral:rRNA from 1 species
GCUCGCGGCGCGCGGCCCGGGGGAGGACCCGGGGGCGCGCGUCCCGGCGAGCACCGAACAACCCUCUGGGCGCGGCGAGCGCCAAGGAAUCGAAGCGGAAAGGGCGGCCGCCUCGCCCGGUGCGGGCACGCCCCGAAAGGGGAUGCGGCACCGCGGCGGGGGUCCGCCGCCCGUCUGUGAAUCUCUUAGACGACUCUCGGCAACGGAUAUCUCGGCUCUCGCAUCGAUGAAGAACGUAGCGAAAUGCGAUACUUGGUGUGAAUUGCAGAAUCCCGUGAACCAUCGAGUCUUUGAACGCAAGUUGCGCCCGAGGCCACUCGGCCGAGGGCACGCCUGCCUGGGCGUCACGCCACCCAUCGCCCCCCCCGCGGCAUUCCCAUGCCCCGCCGGGGAGCGGAGACUGGCCGUCCGUGCCCGAGCCCUCGGCGCGCGGUCGGCAGAAAAGGAGGGCACCGUGCGGCGCGACACGGCGUGUGGGGGUUGAGAGGCGAUCCGUCGCCGAUCGUAACGUCGCGCCCGCAUUCCGCCGCGCGGUGCCGCCCGUGGGACCAGACUCCGCCCGCAGCCGCGGGCGCUCGGACCGCGACCCCAGGUCAGGCGUGGCCACCCGCUGAAUUUAA